UACGGAGGAUGCGAGCGUUAUCCGGAUUUAUUGGGUUUAAAGGGUGCGUAGGCGGACUGUUAAGUCAGCGGUAAAAGCCCGGGGCUCAACCCCGGCGAGCCGUUGAAACUGGCUGUCUUGAGAUGUCGAGAGGUAUGCGGAAUGCGCAGUGUAGCGGUGAAAUGCUUAGAUAUUGCGCAGAACUCCGAUUGCGAAGGCAGCAUACCGGCGCCCAACUGACGCUGAAGCACGAAAGCGUGGGUAUCGAACAGG
rnacentral:rRNA from 1 species